GCUGUAGUGUCAGCUACUUGGGCAGCUGAGGCAGGAGAAUUACUUGAGCCCAGGAGUUCUCGGCUGUAGUAACCUAUGCCAGUCGGGUGUCUACACUAAGUUGAGCAUAAAAAUGGUGGCCUCUCAGGAGCAGGAGACCACUAUGUUGCCUAAGUGGUCAACCGGCCCAAGCUGGAAAUGGAAAAGGUCAAAGCUCCCAUGCUGAUCAGUAGUGGUAUUGCACCUGUAAAAAAACCAGUGUACUCUAGCCUGUAAAAGCAUAGCAAGACCUUGUCUCUU
ensembl:misc_RNA Metazoa_SRP Metazoan signal recognition particle RNA